rfam:Schistosoma curassoni strain Dakar, Senegal genome assembly, scaffold: SCTD_scaffold0003623
AUCCAGCUGAAGAGUACUAAAUAAGACGAAAUGCGCGUCCUAGAU